GACGAACGCUGGCGGCGUGCUUAACACAUGCAAGUCGAACGGAAAGGCCCUGCUUUUGUGGGUUGCUCGAUUGGCGAACGGGUGAGUAACACGUGAGUAACCUGCCCUUGACUUUGGGAUAACUUCAGGAAACUGGGGCUAAUACCGGAUAGGAUCUCCUGCUGCAUGGUGGGGGUUGGAAAGUUUCGGCGGUUGGGGAUGGACUCGCGGCUUAUCAGCUUGUUGGUGGGGUAGUGGCUUACCAAGGCUUUGACGGGUAGCCGGCCUGAGAGGGUGACCGGCGACAUGGGGACUGAGAUACGGCCCAGACUCCUACGGGAGGCAGCAGUGGGGAAUAUUGCACAAUGGGCGGAAGCCUGAUGCAGAAACGCCGCGUGCGGGAUGACGGGCUUCGGGUUGUAAACCGCUUUCGCCUGUGACGAAGCGUGAGUGACGGUAAUGGGUAAAGAAGCACCGGCUAACUACGUG
rnacentral:rRNA from 1 species